UCUCAUAUAUUUGUUGUUUCUCAGUUGCUUCUUCUCCAAUCUUCAUUGUCAACAUGGUAUCAGAGUCAUCUUAAUCAAAGAGGCGGAUUUGGAUCGAAGAAAGUUAUAUAUUAAUGAUUCGAAGCUCUAAAUUGCAGAGAUAGUUUUUUGCUUUGAACUCAUUGAAGUUACUUUCAACUCGUUGAAUCCCUAACAACGGCGAAUGACAGAGUGGAUCGCAAUCAUCAAUUUUUCCUUCAUCAUUCGGAUACAUCUGGAGCACCUAUCAUCCCAAUUCAAUUGACAGGAUUGGAGAACUACUAUAUGUGGGGUCGAUCUAUGAAACUAGUAAUUUGGGGAAAGAAUAAGCUAGGUUUCAUCGAUGGAAUAUGCAAAACAGAGGAUCAUCCGUUGAAUACAAGUAUUUGGGAUAAAUGCAAUGGGUUGUUUUAGCAUGGAUAGUGGGCUUAAUAUCGAAGGAAUUGCAUAGUGGAAUUGCAUAUGCAAGUAGUGCAACAACUAUCUGGGCAGAGUUGAAUGAACAAUUCGACAAGGUGAAUAUAUCAAGAGUUUAUUAGUUGCACGGAGGUAUAGCCACGAUGAUGCAAGGUAAAAACUCUGUUUAUGUGUAUAAUUCUAAUUUGAAGACAUUAAUGAAUUUGAUAGUUUGAUUUCACCACCUGUGUGUGAGUGUGAGAAGACAAGAGAAUUUGUGCAUCAUCUGCAUAGUUAAGGAUGACACAGUUUCAAAUGGGAUUGAACGAAUCAUAUGAAACAAACUAGGGCUCAAAUUUUGAUGAUGCAUCAUAUUCCUUCCAAAAACCUGGCUUAUUCAUUAGUAAUAGAUAGAGAAAGCCAGGGAAUAAUCUCAAAUUCAAUAGUUAAUUUAGAAAACAAUGAAGUAACAACACUAAUAGGGGCUAGAAAAGUAAAUUAUCAAGGAGCUAGAAGUUACCAAGGAAGAGGAAAUUUUCAAAGUGGUAAUUACCAAGGAAAAGGAAAUUUUAAGAAUAAGAAUGAGAACUGGGACCAAAUAUGUGAAUAUUGUAAGCUAAGGGGACAUGUGAAGGGGGACUACUAAAAGUUGAAUGGCUAUCCUCCUAAUUUCAAGUUCAGAAAGAAGCUAGGCUAUAAUGCUCACAAUGCAGCUAUGGAAGAGAACAAAACUUCAUGUCCAAAGGAAAUGGAAGAGCAUAGAAAUGCACAUUUAAGAAAUAAUAUGUAGAGACCAAAAAAGAAAGAAGGUUGUGUAACAAAUGACUAUCCUCAUGUACUCAUGACACAGGGAACACACUACAAUCCUGCACCAUAUUUCACACCAGAUCAUGAAGUCAAUCAAUAAGGAGAAUGCAAUUGAAAGAGAAACACACAUGGCAGUUCCUCAUGUUGGUGUUCUAGCUGCAAAUCCCAUUUUCGAGCAGUAUGUAGUUCAUCCUAUAGUGCUAGCAGUGUCUCUCAGAAGGUCAUCCAGAGCUAUGAAGUAUCCUGCUUGGAUGUCAUUGUUUAUUACUAUCUCAGGAUGAGAUCAAGGCACUACAAGACAAUGGCACUUGGAAACUAGCUCGCUUACCACCUGAGGAAGUUGCACUUGGGUGCAAAGAGGGCAUUAAGGUAAAGUUUUAGUCAAAUGUUGUUGUGGACAUGUUUAAGGCUAGGCUUGUUUCCAUAUGGUAAAAUCAAAAAAAAGGACUUGACUAUAAGGAGACUUUCUCACCAGUAGUCAAGAUUGUGACUAUUAGAACUGUUUAGUCCAUUAUUGUUCAGUUAGACUGGUACAUCAACUAAAUGGAUGUUUAUUAUGCUUUUCUCCAAGGAGAUUUGCCCGAUGAGGUGUACAUAAACCUUCAUGAGGGAUUUUCAAGCCAAGAGGAGUCUUCAAGAUUAGUAUGCAAACUUCUCAAAUCCAUUUAUGAGUUGAAGCAAGCAACAAAUAGACAAAGGGAAUGUAAAAGCUGCUCGAGGCAUUGAUCCAUUCUGGAUUCACAUAGAGUGGUUUUGACCAUUUUUUAUCAUUAAGGUAUCUAAAAAAUAUGUUGUGGUGAUACGUGUUUAUGUAGAUGACAUGCUGAUUGCAGAAGAUGACUUGAUACUCAUAUAAGAUACUAAAGACAAGCUGUAGAAGGUCUUCAAGAUUAAAGAUCUUAGGACUUUGAAGGUAUUUUUAGUAUUGGAAUUUAUCACCUCAAAGAAUGGAAUCCUUAUGAAUUAGAGGAAAUAUGCCACAGAGUUGAUUAGCGAUACCGGACUAAGUGGAGAAAAACCAAUAGGAACUCUACUAGAUCUCAAUCAGAAAUUUGCAACAAAGAAGCAUGAAGAUAUAAGUGGUGUAAAUGAAGAUGAAGAACUCAUUGAUAAAGAAAGCUAUCAGAAGCUCAUAGGAAAACUUCUCUAUCUAACACUUACAGACCAGACAUCUAUUAUGAAAUACAGACAUUGAGAUAGUUUAUGCAAAGUGUAACGAUCUGUUUGGUAGUUACGGCUAGUUUGACCUCGUUGACCCUUUCCCGAGCUAUAUUAGGGUAUAUUUGACCUGCGGGGAUGGGUGGUACACUUUUCGAGGUCUUUGGAUAUGAUUUGGAUGACUUUGUGGGAAAGUUAAGCUUCAAGCCAAAAAAGUUGACUCAAAGUUGACUUUCUGGUAAGCGGACCUUUUUCGAGAAUUCGUUGAUUCCGAGAGAUCCCGAUGGUCUUUUAAAAUUGGUGUGUAUAUUUGGUUCGGUUCCCAAUGCACAUGGGUGCAUUUUGGGACUUGGGUUAGAAAGUUAGUUUUGAGGUAUCGUGCGUUGACUCAGUCAACGAGACCUCCGAUGGCAAUUCCGAGGCUACGAACACGUUCAUAGCGUAUUUUUAUGUAUAUAUGCAUAUUUGAUUUGUGUCCGAGAGGUUUCGGGAUGGUUUCGAGUAUUGAUUCCAGGUUUGGAAGACACCAGAAAUUUCUGGUGUAACGGUGACCGCUUUAGCGGUGGGUGACCGCUAUAGCGGUGCCUCUGUAGAGGUGGGAUGACCGCGCAAGCGGCUGACGGGCUAGAUUCUUAUUUAAAAGACUUAUAAAAAACCCUUAUUCCUCCCAUUCAUUAUAUUACAUUUCCUUAGCAUCUU